GUGGAACAUGCGAACUUAACCUCUGCACCACCGGGCUGGCCCCUUUGUUUGUUUUCUUUACUGCUAUAAUUCCUAGUGCUUAUGACAUUGCCUGGCACACAGUAGAAGCUCAAUUAAUAUUUGUUGAAUGAAUGAGUGUUUUUUUCCUUGCUAAGGAACUUCUUUGCUUGUACACUGAAUCCAAUCUCUAAUUCUUCUUUAGAAUUGAUGCUAAAUUUUCUCAAAUUUUCCUGCAUUUUUACUCUCUCCUCAUCUAAAUCAGUGUUUUCAGACUAUAAAGAUAGUUAAAUAUCACUAAUUUUUUUUUAAAAAGUCAUCUUCCCUAUGGUCUCCAGUUCAGGCUGAAAUUUUAUGAAAAUUACAAUAAGGAACACAAAAUGGAAUAAACACAUGAUAGGAAAGAUGGGACAGGAUGGAGGUCAAAAGUAAAUUUCAAAAAAGUGUCUGAAAAUUGGAAAGAGAAUGGGAGCAAGUUGAAGGAUGAAAUAGAAUCUGAAGGCAGCUGUACCCCAGAAAACGUGGAGGAAGGAGCUUCUGUAUGUGUGUAUAGGUAUGUGUCCGUGUUUGGGGCACUGUCAGAUCAUCUUCCUGGUGAUGCCUGGAGAGCACUUGGAAGCCCAGUUGACAGGGAGAAAGGGCAGGAGUAAGAAGUGAAGCUAAAAGGAGGGGAUAUUUUGACAUGUGUUUAUGGAAAGCUGCAUCAAUCUGUUCACCACUUCCUGUCCCCACUGUUAUACACAGAGCUGUUCAUUGCAGAGCUAGUGAGUAUGCCAAGACAUAGUGUACUUUUGAAUGUUUUACAUUAUGACCAUGUAUUACUUUGACUUAGAUCUAAAAAAAAAAGGUGGAAAAAGGAUUAAAGGGAGCAGAGGAAAAGGCAGGGUAGAGUAGCAUUUAAGAGCAUAGACUCAGGCAUCAGACAGACAGCCUGAAUUUGAAUCCCAGGUGUGCUUCUUGCUAGCUGGAUAACCCUGGGUAGUUUACUUAGUUUGUCUGUGCCUCAGUUUCCCAUUUGUAAAAUGGACAUCAUAGAAGUAUUUUCCUUAUAUGGUUGUUGUGAAGAUGAAACUAGUUAAUAUAGAUGAAAUGCUUAAACCAGUGUCUCAUACGUGUGGUAUAUUAUAAUUAUGUGCCUGAGCAAGGAAACAGAAAAAAACACCAUGAACUAACUCAAUCUAUUUUAUUCCCUCUAAUUUGACGCAUGUCUAGUUUCACUAAUAAUUCCGGAUUUGGCAGUCUUUUGAGGGGGAAGAAUAAGGGUUGAGUAUGAACAAUUGUUUGGGAUUUCUGAAGGAGGAGCAGCGAAUGGGGGAAAUUCUGAUUUGAUUGGAUGUUUAAAAAAUGCAGCUAUAUCAUCAUGCCCUGAUCAAUAACUUUGCUCCUGCUAUUGUCAUCUUGAAAGACCUUUGUUCCUUUUAUCCAUUUUUUUUCAUACCCUAAGUAAUUUUAAGAAAAAAAAACAAGCCCUACUCCCUCCAUGAAACCAUUUAUGAUAUCCCUGGCCCACUCAGAACUCUCCUUACACUUUUGCGUAUAUUGUCUGUUCAUCACAUUGAGCCCCAUUUUAUAUUGUACUGUCUAAAUAUAAGGAGCACAGAAAUUAGAACUUUAUUGUAUGGUACCAUUAUAUAGAAUAUGUCUUGCUAAUUACUAUAGGUUUUCAGUGUAUGUUUAUUUAUUGGUAAUGAUUUUUAUGAGAGAACUUCGGUUUUCUCUUGAUGUAACCUUUGCUGUUAGAUAUUGCACUUUCUUCUUUCACAACUAAAUCUUUAGAAAUGGAAAUCUGCAUUCUACAGUAGUGUGGUUUCCAUUUCCGUAGCUUGUUCACUGCUUAACCCACUACAAGUUGCUUUACCUGCUACUCUGCUAAAGGUACUCCCAUCGGGGUGUGCAGUGACUUCUUCGUUGCCAGGGGCAAAUAUGUAUUUCAGUCCUUAUUUUGCUUAGUCAUUCAAAAUCAACAUCUUGACCACCUUUUGAAUCUUAAAUCUUCCUGAAAGUUCUCGAAUCUUCUCUGUUGAAAUCCAGAAAAGUCCUUCCCGGCUUACCUCCCACCUCUGACCAUCUCUUCUCGGUCUUCUUCAUAGGUGUCAGUAUCUAAGAAGAUCUUUCGCAGAGGUUUCAUGCCACAGCUGGAGGGACAGAGUGGCUUAAAGAUUGGUGAGUUAUGGAGGAGGACCUGGCAAAUGUAGUUCCUUCCUCUUCCUUUAGUCUUUGGGACCUGCCUGCCUGUGGAGAAUCUGCCCUGAUCGACCAUGUGGAAAUCUUGGUGGUAAAGGUCUCAAACUUGCUUUUCAUCCAGCGUGAGUAGAUCUGAAGAUGAGUGACACCAGCCCAACUUUGAACCGUUAGGAAUGAGAAAGGUAGACGGCUCUCCAAAGGGAAUAUUGGAAUGCUGUUUCAAAUUUUGAGAGGAACAGAUUUUAAACUGGCAACAACAGAUGUCCUCCACAAAAAGGAAAGUCAAAAUAUCAAAUGCAACUGAGGACAAGAAUUAUGAGGAGGAAAGAAGACCUCUGAAUUUUGCAGCCAGACGAAUGCCAAUCUGCAUCUUGUUUCAUCCCUUAGUAAUUUUGUAAUCUCUAGCAAGUCAAAUAAUCUCUCUGAGCCUCAAUGGUAAAGCCAAAAUUGUGAUUCAUACCUAAUAACUUGAAUAUGAGAAUAAGAAACUCCACCCCCAGUACAUAGGUAGUUAUUAUUAUUAACAAUGUUCAAGAGAAUAGUCAUUUCAGUGGUGGGGAAUACAGGCCAAAAAAAUGAAUGGAGAGGAAAUAAAAGUAAUAAGUAUAUAGCUCUAAUGCAAGAAAGAUAAUCAAAUGAAAGAAAAUAGAGAAAUUGGAUGAUAGCUAGAAGGUGGCAUCUAGUUAAACUUAUUUUUACCACCCCUCCUCCUCCCACCCCAAAAGAGGGCAAAUCUAUGAAAAUAAGGAGGCUUGGUAGAGAUAGCCAACUGAAGAAAAGAUUAUAGAGAAAGGACAUAAAUGAGAGAAAUCAAUAAGUCAAAAACUAAAGAUAAGGACAAGAUGACAGCCACUUGUUACCUUCACAGGCCAUCUCAAGUCUUAAUUCUUCUGUAAAGUUCCUUUAUGCCUUCAGUUGCUCCUCUGUCUGGCCCCCACUGUCCCUGACAUCCCUCCCACCAUAGCCAUUACCACCUUGUAAUGUGAAGGCCAAGUACAGUUCUUAGCCGGUAUUACCUACUCGCUAAAUGUUAUUUGAAUGAAUGAAUGAAUAAGCACAAGGAAUUGCUUUCUUUUUCCCCUAAAAACAACACUAGUGCUAGCGGCUUUAAUCUCUUGGGUGAUUUGACUGAGAAGACCAGUAUCUGGCCAAUUAUUUUUAUACUGGGACAUAUAAAAGACAGUCCUUUCUUAACAAACUUGAAAGUUAAGAUUUCAUCUAUCGAAUGGACCCAGAAGAGCCAUUGUCCUCUUCCUUGCUGAAUUGCAAAUUUACAAGUCUCUCUCCUUUAUUUAACUGUGUGCUCCUCCAGGCUAGAAGCCAAGUCUUAUUCAUCUUGCUAUACAAUCUCCAAAAUUUCACUCACACCCUCGUCUCCGUAGCAGAAACUUCACUGUCUCUGACACUUACAGAAACUCUGUUAAUGUUUGGGUAAUUACUAAAUGAGUAGAACCCAGGUAAGUAAGAUUAAACAAUGCUUAGUGUGGUAUUAUUUAAACCUACAGUUAAAUAGCUGUGCUUCUAUUACAGAGCACUUGUUUAUAGAAUAGUUUAAGCUCAUCAUUCACACGUCAUAAAGCUGCCUCCUUUUAAUCCCUUUGUUAUAUUGCAUUCUGAAACAGUUAGCUCUGAUAUCCCCACUGAGACUCCUUAGCAUAGGUAACUCAGUUCACUAGGAGAGGAGAACAGAUUUUUAACUCUUAUUUCUUAUAUUUGCAGUUCAGUUUGCCAUGUCAGAGAAAAGUUACAAUCAUUGACUUUCUUAUAUGCUACAUAUGCAACAAGGAAAAAUGUCUGUGGUCAAGGGGAAUAACUAAGUAAAGGGAGUUGGGGUCUAUAUUUCUGGUGAAAUGUAGUCUACUAUUAAGAAGGAAAUCCUUCAUUCCCAAAGAUUGACCAGGGUGAUACUUAGAAAAGAAUCCCAUAUGGUUAAAUUUAGAGCCUGAAAGAAUUCCACCCAACAACCUCCUCUGUAGCAUUUUCAUUUGAUUAUGAUUUGGAUACAUUUUCCCUUACUUUAAACUUUUCCCUUGAAAUUACCUAUUCCAAGAUUCUGAAAUCAGUGGCAAGAGAAUUGUUGGCCAAAGUUACUGCCUCCCUUGUACAAAUGGUCUUUUCAAAUUAGGUGACUCCCAUUUAAAAGUGGCUCUAUGUGGCCAAGAUGUUUUCAGUUUGCAAUUGUACACAAACUGUUUGGUGAUUUUUGCCACAAAACCUGGUCUUUUUCCACCCUUUCUUGCAACUCUUGUCUUUCCUCUUUGCUAAGGUCAUUUGAGAAAGAUAUAAAGUCUUAUAAGUAAUUGCACAUUGGUCUUUUUGUUUCCAGUUUAAUGUUGACGCUGUCAAAGAAAAGAGAGAUUGACAUGGAUCACUGCUUAUUGCUUAGAAUUGCGAUAUUCAUUCAACAAACAUUUAAGGAGUGCUGGCUGUGAGCUAGGCACUGAAGUUAUGUAUGUAUUCAUGUGCUCAAGGAGCCAUGUCUUAUGGGGAAGGCAUCCAAGCCUGUUAACAUUUCCUGAAUGGUGUGAUGAGUGUUGUAAGGGGAAGCACAGGGACUUCUGAAGCACUGAGGGAUGUCUAAUUCCGUAUUGAAGGGAGUGGCCUCCUCUUUGGGUGGGUGAGUCAGUCCUUAGAAUAAGAGUGGGAGUUCUCCAGGGAAGAGGAGGGAAUACUCAGACAGACAAGACGGGCAGGCACUUCUAAGGAGACAGGAGUUUGUAAAACUGCAGGCAAUUCUGUAUAGCUUAUAAGGAGAGUACAAAGAAGGGAAUAAUAGGAGAUGAGGCCAGUGGAAAAAAGAUGAUUAAAUUAUAAGCAUGUACUUUUUUUCAUCUCUAAUCUUUAAUGAUACCAAAGAUAAUAGUCCUUGUUUUUUGAGUGGGCUGAGAAAUGGUGAUGGAAAAUGAAAGAAGCUAAAGAUUGCUUCAUAUACUAAAAAAGAUAGAUAGAUCCAUAGGGAGGACAAAGGAUUUGGGAGAUAGAGACUAGAGUGUUAGACAGUCUGGGUGGAGGAAGAAGCAGGUGGACAAGUUGAGGAGAUGGUGGUGGAGAUAGAGGGAAAGGGAGAAAAUAAGACAGACAGAAAUACCUACAUACAUACAAACACAUGCAUAAGACAGAGACAGGGAAUGACAUGCGGCUGAGAGGGGCAGAGACGCCUAGAGAGAAGAAAACACGUCUGUCAACAGAUGCAUUGAUAAGGAAGAUGUUGUAUAUAUCCACCAUGGAAUAUUAUUCAGCCAUGAGAAAGAAGGAAAUUCUGCCAUUUGUGACAGCAUGGACAGACCUGUAGUAUAUUGUGCUAAAUAAGUCAGACAGAGAUGCUGUUGCCCGCCCGGCCAGGCAAGGGAUUGCCGGAGAUCUUGGAGAGGACUGGGGCUGGGUGGAGCUCCAGAGGCUGGCUCUGCGGCC